rnacentral:lncRNA from 1 species
UCCAUUUGCGCAAGGAGUGCGAGCCACAGGGACACAGCAGGGAUCGCAACUGGCUGCGGAGGAUAUCCCCCACCCCUCCCGGGGGGUGAGGCCGCCAGGACAGCCCACCACGAACCCACGAACCCAUCACCAUCACCACACGGUUACCUUGGGGAAGCGCGGGGCGUACACCCGGGGUCGGCCCCCGCCCCGCUUGUCC